CGAAAUAGUUUGAGCUAAACAAUUUGGCUUUUUAGGGUAAUGAUGUGCGUUUUAUAGCACAGUGGCCAAGGUUGUUUAGGGGUGAUAGGCUUCUCAAAAAUUAAGAUAUCUUGAUACCAUAGAGAUGUAUGUAGUACUUAAGACAAAUAUAAAGUGGUUAGGCUUUAUAUGCUUAUAAUAUUUAUUUUAUAUAAGUAAAGAUAUAACUGUCAUUUUACUUAAAAAUUAUUAUUCCAAUUUUAAUUAUGUAUCCUAUAAGUGGUUAUGUGUAAAAUUUACCCGCACAUUAAUAAUGUUCACAUUAGUACAUUCAUGAGACCUAGAUAACGAACUCGGCAAAGUUUUCUUCAACUGUUUAUCAAAAACAUAACUAUAUGAUAUCCUAUAUAGCUAUUUCUGCUCAAUGUCUAAAUAAAUAGCCGCAGUACUUUGACUGUGCAAAGGUAGCAUAAUCAAUUGACUUAUAAUUGAAGUCUGGAAUGAAAGAAUCUAUGGGGAAUCACUGUUUCAUUUGGGAAUAGGGAAAUUGUUUAGUAGGUGAAAAAACCUACAACUAAAAAAUAGACGAGAAGACCCUAGAAAUUUUAAUUAGAUAGUUGAUAUGUCCUUUUUGUUGGGGCGACAAAGUAGCAGGGAAACCUACUUAUAAAAUAAGGAUUAAAUAUAAAGAUUAAAUAAAUUACUCUAGGGAUAACAGCAUAAUAUUAAAAAGUUUGUGACCUCGAUGUUGGACUAGGAAAAUAUAGUUUAGAAGACUAUUAUAAGGGCUCUGUU
rnacentral:rRNA from 1 species